GACGAACGCUGGCGGCGUGCUUAACACAUGCAAGUCGAACGGAAAGGCCCUGCUUUUGUGGGGUGCUCGAGUGGCGAACGGGUGAGUAACACGUGAGUAACCUGCCCUUGACUUUGGGAUAACUUCAGGAAACUGGGGCUAAUACCGGAUAGGAGCUCCUGCUGCAUGGUGGGGGUUGGAAAGUUUCGGCGGUUGGGGAUGGACUCGCGGCUUAUCAGCUUGUUGGUGGGGUAGUGGCUUACCAAGGCUUUGACGGGUAGCCGGCCUGAGAGGGUGACCGGCCACAUUGGGACUGAGAGACGGCCCAGACGCCUACGGGAGGCAGCAGUGGGGAAUAUUGCACAAUGGGCGGAAGCCUGAUGCAGCAACGCCGCGUGCGGGAUGACGGCCUUAGGGUUGUAAACCGCUUUCGCCUGUGACGAAGCGUGAGUGACGGUAAUGGGUAAAGAAGCACCGGCUAACUACGUG
rnacentral:rRNA from 1 species